rnacentral:rRNA from 1 species
GAUGAACGCUGGCGGCGUGUCUAAUACAUGCAAGUCGAGCGAACAGACGAGGAGCUUGCUCCUCUGACGUUAGCGGCGGACGGGUGAGUAACACGUGGAUAACCUACCUAUAAGACUGGGAUAACUUCGGGAAACCGGAGCUAAUACCGGAUAAUAUAUUGAACCGCAUGGUUCAAUAGUGAAAGACGGUUUUGCUGUCACUUAUAGAUGGAUCCGCGCCGCAUUAGCUAGUUGGUAAGGUGACGGCUUACCAAGGCAACGAUGCGUAGCCGACCUGAGAGGGUGAUCGGCCACACUGGAACUGAGACACGGUCCAGACUCCUACGGGAGGCAGCAGUAGGGAAUCUUCCGCAAUGGGCGAAAGCCUGACGGAGCAACGCCGCGUGAGUGAUGAAGGUCUUCGGAUCGUAAAACUCUGUUAUUAGGGAAGAACAAAUGUGUAAGUAACUAUGCACGUCUUGACGGUACCUAAUCAGAAAGCCACGGCUAACUACGUG